AUUGAACGCUGGCGGCAGGCCUAACACAUGCAAGUCGAGCGGAGCGGCGGACGGGUGCGUAAUGCCUAGGAAUCUUCCUGGUAGUGGGGGAUAACGUCCGGAAACGGGCGCUAAUACCGCAUACUAUCAGAUGAGCCUAGGUCGGAUUAGGUAGUGGGGGGGGUAAAGGCCUACCAGGGCGAGGAGACGUAACUGGUCUGAGAGGAUGAUCAGUCACACGGGAACGGAGACACGGUCCAUACCCUUACGGGAGGCAGCGUUGGGGAAUUUUUGACAAGGGGCGAAAUCCUGCGCAAGCAAUGCCGCGUGGUUGAAGAAGGUCUUCGGAUGUAAAAGCCCUUUAAGUUGGGAGGCGUUACCAACAGAAUAAGCACCGGCUAACUUCGUGCCAGCCGCCGCGGUAAUAC
rnacentral:rRNA from 1 species